GGUGGCUCAGUGGUAGAGCGUCUGCCUUGCAUGCAUGAGGCCCUGGGUUCGAUUCCUCAGCACCA
rnacentral:tRNA from 1 species